rnacentral:pre_miRNA from 1 species
UCUAUAACUCGAGAUAUGGGCUGAACACUAAACAAUGUCUUAGCUGUAGGACAGAUUCCGACUUCUCUUUUGUUGCUACAAUUUGAACUUGAAAAUGGCCUUUUAAAUCUUGGACUCUUCAUGAAAGUUUGAGGCCUAUGUCUUACCUUUCAAUA